rnacentral:pre_miRNA from 10 species
GUUUCGUGUCAAGCCUCUCCCGGCAGGGUAACCGUCUCCUUUUGGUGCAGGAGUUUGUAUAUGAACAUCUAGCACCAUUAGAAAAUGGUAAUUUUAACCGGGAACUUUCAACUGGCUCAAU